GCGGGUGUCCGGGUGAUCGCCCUAUCGCAAGAUAGGGAGGAAAGUCCGAGCACUUUCGACUCGGAAGAGUCGUGACAUGAGGUAGUCGUUAACGACGACGGGGAGCGACGAGAUUGGAGAACGCGCUAGCGCCUUCAAUGUCGCCAAGCCCACGGAAGUCCGCCGGUGCAGGCGGACGUGCGUCUCCGGGCAACCGGAGGGAUCCCGCGUGCGGGGCAUCGGACUUCGCACGUGACGACCGCAACAGAAAAAAUACCGCCAAGGCUCCGAUCCUGAACGCCUUGGUAAGGGUGAAAUGGUGGAGUAAGCGCCCACCGGCGCCGCGGUGACGCGGCGAGCAUGGCAAACACCUACCCAGUGCAAGGGGAGUACCCCCGCUUGAGCCAUGCAGUAAUGCAUGGCCCAGAGAGAUGAUCACCACCCGCGGAGGACGCGCAAGCGCUCUCCCGCGUGGGACAGAACUCGGCUUACACGACACCCGCAGCA
rnacentral:RNase_P_RNA from 1 species